GUAAGGCCUGGAUUAGGGGUAUUAACUCCAGGGAGAGAUUGGACAGGCUUGGAUUGUUUUCUCUGGAAGACUCGAGGUUGAGGGGCAACCUCGUAGAAGUAUACAAAAUUAUGAGAGGCAUGGAUAGGGUAGA